rnacentral:tRNA from 1 species
CCUGGAGGACUAGUGGUUAGGCCUCGGGGCUCUCGCCGCCGUGGCCCGGGUUCGAUUCAGGUUGCGUCAGGA